AUGCCAGGAAAAUGCCAGGAUUUGUGGAGGGCCCACAGCUACGAAGAAAUCUCAGGUGGAGUCCUGGGGAACCAAUGGGGGAUCCCAGCCUCAGGCCUGCCGGGACGGUGUGCAGGAGGGAUGCAGACCAACGUCAAAGAAGAUGGUUCUAGAUGGUCCUUACUUCUCCCAUCCUCUCCUCUCAUUGAGAAAUGUUGCCACACCCACACCAUGACACAGGCUUGGAGAGAAAGCUGGGAACAGGAUGUGGACUGGCCACUCCUUCUUCCCAGAUGCCCAUGGUGGUGGCAUUAUCCUUUAUCCAGCCUGAGCUCUGGCCACUGCUCGGUCCUCCCUCUCACUCUGUCUGCCAUGUAUCUGAGGGGCCUAUUUCUUCCUUCCUCUGGCUCAGUGUCUUCAACAAAUAACACUUUUGAGUCCAUCAGGUUGAAACAUUUUCGAGUUCCGUUUAAUGAUUGUUUCCCUCUCCAAACAUAUUUCUAUAGAUUGGGUAGGCAUGACCAUCCUGGAGCACUGGUCUUCCAUACCCAUUUCAGAUAAGGAAGCUCGUUUGGUCUCCAUGUCCCAACUGAUGGCUGCAUGUUUCAUCUAGGAUGAACUGUCAGUGGCUGGCCUUUGCCUUAUUUGAAAGGGGGUGUUAUUGCCUUUCAUCAGGACUUCCUGUCUCAUUCUUGAGGGACAUCCACUUCCUCUGCUCCUGGGUGGGACUGCCUCCCAACACACAAUCUUUUGGCUGCAACAGACGUCAGGGAGCCAAAGGGACUGGGUUUUGGCUGGGUACAGGGGUGGUUGCCUCAGGGAUACAUAGUUGUUGCAUUGCCCAGGGUAGGGUGUACUUUGCACAAAUCUCUCUGCUCCUCUGGCAGGCAUCCCUGAAUGUGGCUUGGAUUCUGGCACAGGCCCUCUCCUGGUUCCCAGGUGUGCUUUGCUUUUACUUUGCUUUCUUGGGGAGGUCUCCAAUGUUCCCCCCAACCCCCCCGGGGUGCAUGCCUGGACAUCAUUGACAGUCUCGCUAUUACCCCAUAGCCACGGGGACACAUGCUCACUCCAACUUUUCUUGGGGGAUGCCAGUGCCACGUGUGGUCACAUUUCCUCCACCUCUGACUCGCCCCCUUCCCUGUUUGCACCUGUCUGGGAAAGGAGUGUAGGGAUGCAGGAGCCCAGGGGCUUUGCGGACCAGAGCAGGCCACUGCUCCGCCCAGAGAGUAGGAGGGAAGAAGUGGACUCAUGGGUCAGUGAAUUUUCAGGUGACAUCAUGCCUUCAGUUACAUGGAAUCUUUCUGUGCCUCAUCGAGAACCUCCCCGCCUCAGCGUAUUAUAACCCCAUCCCUGCUGACCCAGUGGGGUCCAAAAUUGGAUCCGUGGAGGAGUCCGCAGAUCCCAGCUGGUGCCCUAAAGCUCCUACUUCACUAGGAACCAAACCAGAAAACGGCUCAAGGUGGUUCUCAGGACCGGACUCUUAGUUGUCCGGUUCUGGGUCUUGCACAGUCUCCUUUCCCUUCUCCUCCUUAAA
rnacentral:lncRNA from 1 species